CCUGCAGUUUCGAUGAUUUUAUCCUUAAUUCUGAAGAUGUGAUAAAUGCAUCUUAACUGCGGUGA
rnacentral:pre_miRNA from 1 species